UCGGGAAUCUUGGACAAUGGGCGCAAGCCUGAUCCAGCCAUGCCGCGUGAGGGAGGAAAUCCUUCGGGAUGUAAACCUCGCAAGCAAGGGAAGACAGCUAGAGAUUUAAUAAAUUUCUAGUCCGACGGUACCUUGCGUAAGCCACGGCUAACUACGUGCCAGCAGCCGCGGUAAUACGUAGGUGGCAAGCGUUGUUCGGAAUUAUUGGGCGUAAAGGGCGCGUAGGCGGUUUGUUAAGUUGGAUGUGAAAUCCCCGGGCUCAACCUGGGAACUGCAUUCAAAACUGACAAGCUAGAGUAUGGUAGAGGGUGGUGGAAUUUCCUGUGUAGCGGUGAAAUGCGUAGAUAUAGGAAGGAACACCAGUGGCGAAGGCGACCACCUGGACUGAUACUGACACUGAGGUGCGAAAGCGUGGGGAGCAAACAGGAUUAGAUACCCCAGUAGUCCCUGAGCGGGCUGGCAAGGCGCAU
rnacentral:rRNA from 1 species